UAAGACACCGCCUUUUCACGGCGGUAACACGGGUUCGAAUCCCGUACGGACUA
rnacentral:tRNA from 1 species